AAUAUUGGUCAAUGGAGGCAACUCUGAACCAGCCAUGCCGCGUGCAGGAUGACGGUCCNAUGGAUNGNAAACUGCUUUUGUACGGNCCGAAAACAAACUACGCGUAGUUAAUUGACGGUACCGUAAGAAUAAGGAUCGGCUAACUCCGUGCCAGCAGCCGCGGUAAUACGGAGGAUCCAAGCGUUAUCCGGAAUCAUUGGGUUUAAAGGGUCCGUAGGCGGCCUUAUAAGUCAGUGGUGAAAGUUUUUGGCUUAACCAAAAAAUUGCCAUUGAUACUGUAGGGCUUGAAUGUCUGUGAAGUAACUAGAAUAUGUAGUGUAGCGGUGAAAUGCUUAGAUAUUACAUGGAAUACCGAUUGCGAAGGCAGGUUACUAACAGAUGAUUGACGCUGAUGGACGAAAGCGUGGGUAGCGAACAGG
rnacentral:rRNA from 1 species